GUGCUCACUUCAGCAGCACAUCUACUAAAAUCGGAUACAGAGAAGAUUAGCAUGGCCCCUGCACAAUGAUGAUGACACACAAAUUUAUAAAGCAUACCAUACUUUU
rnacentral:snRNA from 1 species